AAGACCUCAAAUCAGGUGGGACUACCCGCUGAACUUAAGCAUAUCAAU
rnacentral:rRNA from 1 species